rnacentral:rRNA from 1 species
AAUAAUACCCCAUAGUUCACCACGCCUGGAACGGUGGGUGGAUCAAAGCUCCGGCGGCACAGGAUGGGCCUGCGGCGUAUCAGGUCGUAGGGGGUGUAACGUACCCUCUAGCCUUCAACGCGUACGGGUUGUGGGAGCAAUCGCCCGGAGAUGGAUUCUGAGACACGAAUCCAGACCCUACGGGGUGCAGCAGGCGCGAAAACUUCACACUGCAGGAAACUGUGAUGAGGGAAUUCCAAGUGGCUAGACAAAGUCUAGUCUUUUACUAACUUUUAAUCGGUUGGUGAAUAAGGGGUGGGAAAGACCGGUGCCAGCCGCCGCGGUAAUACCGGCACCCCAAGUGGUCGUCGCUUUUAUUGGGCCUAAAACGUCCGUCGCCUGUUUGGUACAUUCGUGGGUAAAUCAAGCCGCUUAACGACUUGAAUUCUGCGAGGACGGCCAGACUAGGGACCGGGAGAGGUAUGGGGUACUCUCAGGGUAGGGGUAAAAUCCAGUCAUCCUGAGGGGACCACCUGUUGCGAAGGCGCCAUACUAGAACGGAUCCGACGGUCAGGGACGAAGCCUAGGGGCACGAACCGGAUUAGAUACCCGGGUAGUCCUAGGUGUAAACGCUGUG